CGGAAGUUUGGGACCGGAAGCGCCGGCCCCAGCCUCCCUGGGUGGUCAUCCGCACUGGGUCCGGUUCUUCGCAGUACCCAGCUGGGCACGAGCUUGAGGUUCCGGGGCGAGACUUUGGGGUCCCCAGGGUGGGCAGGAGGACCCCGCGAUAGGCGCGCGGGGUCGAGUGCGGGGCCGGGGAAAGGGCGUGGAGUGAUAGCCAGAGGUCAGAACCUGGCGCCCAGCCGUUGAGGCCCCUUCGACGUGAGGAGAUCGGGGCUGGGCCUCGGAAGCAUUUUGCACUCCCCUCCCCUCCGGCCACCCCGGGACACCCGAGAUGCAGACUCCAGUUAGUAAACGAACCCUGAUCCUGGAAUCCACGUCGUGCUCAACUACCAGUCGCCAACCUGCAAUGCCCACGUGAGGAGGCUGGAAAUGGCCCAAUUGCAAAAAAUCUUCUGCUUCGGUAGCUUCAAGGCGCACUUUGUACCAGAUUCCUGGUUCGUGAGGGCUAGUGGGCAGGCCCCACGUCCCCAAAUUCAACCAAACCGCUUCUGCCCAGUGGAACUGUUGAAUGAUUCUUUCUCGGCAGAGAGGAUUCUUCCAGUUUGGUGAGCCUAAACUGAUUCACCAUGUCUUUCUUACCUGCCCAAUCCACCUUUUCAAACUAGCAUGUGAGAUUAGGGGGGAGAAAGGGUCGAUGCUCUGUGACCCUGUCAAGGCUGCCUGCCUUAGGGAGCCGGCCUAAGAGGUCCCACCACAAACACUGGGCUCAGGGGACUUCCUGCCUCAGAACUUUGGCCUGUCGCUCCUCUGGCCCCCGCAGAGUUCCUUUGGGUUUUCCAGAGCAGGGAAUCUGAAUGAACACCUCAUGUGUCAAAAUCCCAACCUCAUCCCUUAAUAUUAAAAUCUGUGCUUUCAAACAA